rnacentral:rRNA from 1 species
CUGCGGCAGCGAACGUAUCACUUAAAGCGAUUCAGCGGGUUACGAUUGACGGAGCGAAGCGACGUCAAAGCGUAUACAAAGUCGAGUCGGUUUAAGGAUACGUUCGUUGGGUAGGGGAGCGUUCUGUAAGCCUGCGAAGGUGGCCUGUGAGGGUUGCUGGAGGUAUCAGAAGUGCGAAUGCUGACAUAAGUAACGAUAAAGCGGGUGAAAAGCCCGCUCGCCGGAAGACCAAGGGUUCCUGUCCAACGUUAAUCGGGGCAGGGUGAGUCGACCCCUAAGGCGAGGCCGAAAGGCGUAGUCGAUGGGAAACGGGUUAAUAUUCCCGUACUUGGUGUUACUGCGAAGGGGGGACGGAGAAGGCUAUGUUGGCCGGGCGACGGUUGUCCCGGUUUAAGCGUGUAGGCUGGUUUUCCAGGCAAAUCCGGAAAAUCAAGGCUGAGGCGUGACGACGAGGCACUACGGUGCUGAAGCAACAAAUGCCCUGCUUCCAGGAAAAGCCUCUAAGCAUCAGGUAACACGAAAUCGUACCCCAAACCGACACAGGUGGUCAGGUAGAGAAUACCAAGGCGCUUGAGAGAACUCGGGUGAAGGAACUAGGCAAAAUGGUGCCGUAACUUCGGGAGAAGGCACGCUGACACGUAGGUGAAGUGAUUUACUCAUGGAGCUGAAGUCAGUCGAAGAUACCAGCUGGCUGCAACUGUUUAUUAAAAACACAGCACUGUGCAAACACGAAAGUGGACGUAUACGGUGUGACGCCUGCCCGGUGCCGGAAGGUUAAUUGAUGGGGUCAGCGCAAGCGAAGCUCCUGAUCGAAGCCCCGGUAAACGGCGGCCGUAACUAUAACGGUCCUAAGGUAGCGAAAUUCCUUGUCGGGUAAGUUCCGACCUGCACGAAUGGCGUAAUGAUGGCCAGGCUGUCUCCACCCGAGACUCAGUGAAAUUGAACUCGCUGUGAAGAUGCAGUGUACCCGCGGCAAGACGGAAAGACCCCGUGAACCUUUACUAUAGCUUGACACUGAACAUUGAGCCUUGAUGUGUAGGAUAGGUGGGAGGCUUUGAAGCGUGGACGCCAGUCUGCGUGGAGCCGACCUUGAAAUACCACCCUUUAAUGUUUGAUGUUCUAACGUGGACCCGUAAUCCGGGUUGCGGACAGUGUCUGGUGGGUAGUUUGACUGGGGCGGUCUCCUCCUAAAGAGUAACGGAGGAGCACGAAGGUUGGCUAAUCCUGGUCGGACAUCAGGAGGUUAGUGCAAUGGCAUAAGCCAGCUUGACUGCGAGCGUGACGGCGCGAGCAGGUGCGAAAGCAGGUCAUAGUGAUCCGGUGGUUCUGAAUGGAAGGGCCAUCGCUCAACGGAUAAAAGGUACUCCGGGGAUAACAGGCUGAUACCGCCCAAGAGUUCAUAUCGACGGCGGUGUUUGGCACCUCGAUGUCGGCUCAUCACAUCCUGGGGCUGAAGUAGGUCCCAAGGGUAUGGCUGUUCGCCAUUUAAAGUGGUACGCGAGCUGGGUUUAGAACGUCGUGAGACAGUUCGGUCCCUAUCUGCCGUGGGCGCUGGAGAACUGAGGGGGGCUGCUCCUAGUACGAGAGGACCGGAGUGGACGCAUCACUGGUGUUCGGGUUGUCAUGCCAAUGGCACUGCCCGGUAGCUAAAUGCGGAAGAGAUAAGUGCUGAAAGCAUCUAAGCACGAAACUUGCCCCGAGAUGAGUUCUCCCUGAGACUUAGAGUCUCCUGAAGGAACGUUGAAGACGACGACGUUGAUAGGCCGGGUGUGUAAGCGCAGCGAUGCGUUGAGCUAACCGGUACUAAUGAACCGUGAGGCUUAACCUUAC